GAAAGAAACACGCCUUCAGAGGUAGCUGCAGGUGCCCCUAGCUCCUCACCAGAACCCUGAGUGCCCACUGGAGAGGCCAGCUCCCGGGGCACGCGCUGAGUCAUUCCAGGCUCCAAGCUUUAACUUGGCCUUGGGUGCCUUGGCCCUGGACUUGCUCUGCAUGGUCCCAGCCAAGCGGUCCCCGGAGCCCCUGCCUCCUGGAUCCCCAGGCUAAGGAGCUGCUGGGCCCAGAGGCAGCCGCAGGAUCAAUGCAUUGCUCAGAGGAAAGCAGGAGGGACCUGGAACUUGGAAGUGGCCUGUGGAGCCAUAUGGGGAGGGGAAGCCAGCAGGGACGCACUUGGAUCGUGGUCCGGGCCCAUCCAACCGGGAUUCUGAGACCUGAUCCACCCUCAUCCUGCAAGGUCCGUCAAGAAUGAGGACCAGCUUUCCUGGGGUCCCCUCCAGGUGGGAAGAAGCCGUCUCCAAUAUGCUGUCUGCCUGGAAAGUGCCCCCGUGCUGAGCCCAGCAUCCUGAGGCCAAAGGCUGUUUUAUUCCUCUCUGUACCACGAGCUCCUGGCACAUAUCUGCUCUCCACAGAGGCUUGCCACACCGACCCAGGGAGGCUGAGCGGAGCCGUUCUCCAGCAGUGAGAGUGUGUGGCUGCGUCCCAUGUUAGAGUCGUCUGUGAGGAGCAGGCAUGGGAAUGGCCCACACCAUGAGGCCUCCCUCCGAAACGGUUGCCUUGACCCAAUUCACCAGGCCAGAGGUCACCCUGGGGUUUGGGCAGGAGGUGUAUCAGUCAGUCCUGUUAACUGCUGUGACAAGCAGUCCCCACCUCCUGCAACAUAGCACACCACAUGCACGCUUGCUCUCUUCUCACAGUGUCCUUCACAAGACAGGCUCAGCCGCUCCUCCUUCUGUGACAGUGUCCUCUCCAAGAUGGGGAUGUGGACCCUCAUCCUGGAAGAGACACCACACUUUUUCAAUUCCACUCCUUUGGCUAGAACCAGACACGUAGUUCCGUCCUCAUGCAGUGGGGGUGGAGUGUGAUAUGGUUUGGCUGUGUCCCCACCCAAAUCUCAUCUUGAAUUAUAGCUCCCAUAAUUCCCAUGUGUUGUGGGAGGAAACUGGUGGGAGAUAAUUGAAUCAUGGGGGUGGUUCCCCCAUACUGUUCUCAUGGUAGAGAGUAAGUCUGAUGAGAUGCGAUGGUUUUAUGAGGGGAAACCUCUUUUGCUUGGCUCUCAUUCUCUCUCUCUCUCUCUUUUUUUUUUUUUUUGAGAUGGAGUUUUGCUCUUGUUGCCCAGGCUGGAGUGCAAUGGCAUGAUCUCACUGCAACCUCUGCCUCCUGGUUUCAAGCGAUUCUCCCGCCUCAGCCUCCGGAGUAGCUGGGAUUAUAGGUGUCUGCCACCACACCGGCUAAUUUUUUGUAUUUUUAGUAGAGACGGGCUUUCACCAUGUUGACCAGGCUGGUCUCGAACUCCCAACCUCAGGUGAUUUACCCAUCUCAGCCUCCCAAAGUGCUGGGAUUACAGGCAUGAGCCACCACACCCAGCCUCAUUCUCUCUUUUCUGCCACCAUGUAAAACGUGUUUGUGACCCUCCACCAUGAUUGUGAUGCCUCCCUAGCUACGUGGAACUUUGAGUCUAUUAAACUUAUUUUUCUUUAUAAAGUACCCAGCCUUGGCUAUGUCUUUAUCAGCAGCAUGAAAACGGACUAAUAUGGGUGGGGAGUGCAGUUCCCCCUGGUUACCCACCUUGGGGGCCAGGGAGCCCCAUGUCUGUUGGGGCCAGCUUGUUGUCCCUGUCACAGGGGUUUGGGACCAACUAUGUGGCUUUGUGCACAUGACCUGCUAGCUCUGUGCCCCGAAUUUCCUGGCCUUUAAAUGGACACGAUACACCUCCUGUGGAGAUUAACACGCUGUCAUCAGUAAAGAGCCUCUCGCGGCCAGGCACCUGUUACCUGUUCAGCCUUUGGUAGUUACUCUGAGUCUACAGUGAUGAGAGCUCCCGGGGAUGUAAUUUGGAUAAAGCAGCAGCAAUGGCCCCCUGCACUGCUGACCCUCCAGUCCCUUGUCCUGGAGAAAGCUUCCUUUUACUACCAUUCAUUUUUUCUUUUUCUUUUUUUUUUUGAGAUGGAGUCUUGCUCCGUCACCCAGGCUGGAGUGUAGUGGCACAAUCUCAGCUCACUGCAAC
rnacentral:lncRNA from 10 species